ACUUAAAUAGCUUAAGUUUAGAGCGUUACAUUGAAGCUGUAAAGGUAGUGAUUUUAGCUUUUGAGUG
rnacentral:tRNA from 1 species